rnacentral:lncRNA from 1 species
GUCCAUAUGGCAUAAUCAACGAGUUUUAAGGGUACUCAGUUGGGACGAAAUCUGUAUAUAUCACUUUUUGACCUAGUUUUUGGUACAUUGUAAUAUCCAAGGCUGUUAUCUUCAUUCGAUGUUUUAUUUGUUUUGUCUUUUCUAGAAGACGUUUCAGUAUUUCACCGGAUGCUAUUUAAAUUUUUGCAAGACUUCGAUUCACGUACCCUAACA